rnacentral:rRNA from 1 species
UACGUAGGGUGCGAGCGUUAAUCGGAAUUACUGGGCGUAAAGCGUGCGUAGGCGGUUCGUUAAGUUCGUUGUGAAAGCCCCGGGCUCAACCUGGGAAUGGCAAUGGAAACUGGCGGGCUCGAGUAUGGCAGAGGGGGGUGGAAUUUCACGUGUAGCGGUGAAAUGCGUAGAGAUGUGGAAGAACACCGAUGGCGAAGGCAGCCGUCUGGGCCAAUACUGACGCUCAUGCACGAAAGCGUGGGGAGCAAACAGG